UAGGCGGGUUAUCUAAUAGAAACAGAAGGGAUCUAGGUCACAUUAUAUUGGAUGGUUAGAGGAGUCCUCCCAAAGGAAGGAGAAAUUUGAGCGGGGAUCUGAAUAUGAAGAAAGAGCAGCCAGCUAUGCAAAAAUCCAGGGCCAAGCUUUCCAGACACAAGGAACAGAACGCGCAAAGGCUCGGGGAAAGGGAGUAGGGGGAAGAGCUGGGAGUGGGGGGAAGACCUGGGGGUGGGGGGAGUGUGUUUUGAGAAGCAUAAAAAAGCCUAGGGUGGCUGAAGUCCAGCAGGCAAGGGGAAAUCCUGAAAGAGGAGAUGGCAAAAGUAGCCAGGGGCCUCCUCACAAAGGGUCCAGUAGGCCAAGCCAGGAGUGUCUGCUUGCAUGGACACCAUUGUGGAAACCUUCCUCCGCACCUGUGCCAGGCUCUUGUGGAUGCCAUCAACAAACCCCUCUGACACCUCUGACGGGAGCAUGUGAAUAACACCGAAUAAUCACAACAAAUCCUCCUCAUCAUAAAGCCUUGCGUGGACUGGCACUCGCAAAUAUUUAAAUAAAUAUUAAAACACUGUUGGAAAU
rnacentral:lncRNA from 1 species